AAAGGUUUCAAGUCACAAUGAGAGAUGGCCAGGUGGACCCUGGACGAACGAGUCUCUUUCCUUAAGCAUGCAAAAGUCAAACACAAAAAACCCAAGCCCCCAAACCUAAUUUGAUCUUAUAACGACACCGUUUUCAUCUUGUCUUGGCACUUGGUUUGGCUUUAACUUCCUUCUCUGUAAAAACACAAAGCUGCUAUGCUAUGUAAGUUCCUUUGGUCCCUUCUCUUUGUAAACUAAACCCUCCUUAAUUCUCAACCAUCUAUUUCCACAACACACACACAAAUACAUGGCUCUGUAGAUAAAAAGAAAAAAGGAUUCACAAUCUUGCGAAGCAUCUAAAACCCUCAAAACACGCAAAACCCACAUCCCGAACUCAGCGCCCAGGCGGAGACAAGUCGAAGAAGAUGGAAAGCAGCGCCGAUAUAGUAAACGUCAACAGCUGUAGUGGCAACGGCAACAGCAGCACGCGCCUGCCUCUAUCAGAGGUUGUAUCGGAUUGCGUGAAGAGGUGGUUCAAAGACACCCUCAAAGAAGCCAAGGCUGGGGAUAUCAACAUGCAGGUUUUGGUUGGUCAAAUGUAUUAUAGCGGAUAUGGAGUCCCUAGAGAUGCCCAAAAGGGAAGAAUUUGGAUGACAAGGGCAUCAAGGACUCGGUCUUCAGUUUGGAAAGUCAGUGAUAAGCAUCCAGGUUAUAAUGCAAGUGAUUCAGACUCGGAUGAAUUGAAGGGUGAUUCUUAAAAAGACCAAAUUAGUUUCAAGACCAAAACAUUAAAAUGUGAGCUGGCAUUUAUCUUUUUCUUGGACUUUUAAUGCUUAAUUUGCUUUUUUGGGGGCGUGCUGUUGGUCAAUCAUUUAGUGUAGCAGAUUUUUAAGCUCGUGCUGUCAUUUUUGUUCCUUGUAUGAUUUCUGGAGAAAGGUUUUCUCAGAAUUCAUCACUAAUUACAAAUCCAUUGCUAGAAAUGCUCAAUAAAUGUAUGUUGAUUGAUUUUGCCAGCUUUUCCUCAGAAUUAUGCGUCUCCUUAGGUGUGAUGGGGAGGUUUACCUGCUUUUUAAACUGUGCUUGCUCCAUAGACAAUGACUAACAAUAGAAUAUUUGGUUAAUGAUGCCAUUUAACUUAAAAGGCUGAAGAAAGAGUGUUGAAACUAGUGGCAAUUUUUCCCAAGACCUUCUUAAAGUGACAUGAAAAUUAAUGUGAGCUGUCUGAUAUAUGUAUAAUUUUGUUUAAACUUUCUUCGUUGGCGCUUUCAGCUCCCUUUUCAUCAUUCUUUUCUCCCUAUGUAUGGGCAGCAAUUACCUGUUAUAUAGAAGUUUUCUUUUGUUUACUCUGGCAUUCUUGUUUUGCAUGUGCUUUUAGUUUCUGUUACUUUCUUCCUUCUAUUAUAAUAAUCUAUGAUGCCUUAGCUAUUUCAUUAUACAUUUCUAUAAUUCAGCAUGCCUCAGUUACUCUGCAGAUUCAGUGUCUGCUCUGUGGUUCUAAAACAACAAAAUUAUUAAAUUAGCAUUGAUAUAUAACUGUAGGCUAUAGCAUCACUUGAUUGCCUGAUAAUUGCUGAUGUAUUUCCGUGUUCUAUAGUUCUACAUGAAUAUAUUGAUAACAUAAAAUUCAGUAGUCAAGAAGCAUAACAAUC
rnacentral:misc_RNA from 1 species